rnacentral:lncRNA from 1 species
CAGUUGUAGUUUCACCUUUGUUCUUAGCUACUGACUGCACGUGCAAGAUGCUUUGCGUUGGUUACUGCAUUUAAAGGUUUGCCUUAGCUACUGCAUUUAUAGGUGCAUUAUCCCUUUUCAUCAAUCUGGUCGCAAAAGAGGUAAUAUAGAAAAUCAUUCAUUGGAAACCUGCUCCACUGGCGUGAGAUCAUUGGUUCGAAAGAGACAAUACAGACCAUCAUUCAAGGAAUAAAUCAAACAUAUCUACUAGACUCUGUUUCUGCCAACUUCAGAUACCUGUUUAUAUCGAAGAAAGUUUCACAAAAUAGAACUGAACCUUCAUCCAAGUCUUAGCUUCAUCCAUCUCAGUGCUUCUGCUUGCGUCUUCCGGUCCAUAAAGAAGUUAUUAACAAAAGGGGUCUUCUAGAUUGUAAGUAACCAACCAGUAUUCUGUCUAACAGCUAAGCAUUUGACAAGGUUGCAAAUGUUGAACUUUUUGGGGCUGAAUUCCUUGAUACCCUUUGUCCUACUGUAAGUUGCAGGCUUUCCAUGCGAUGGGUAGAAUGUUUGUUUCCUGCACAUAAUUAGUUGAUGAACAGUAUCUAUUUUAAUUGAUUAGAAAAGUUUCCAUCUCACAUGUAUUUUUGUAUAAUCAGACAUGCCCAGAGACCUAACAGAGAUUGUGCACGCCUAACUAAAGGGGGUCAUAAACAUUCUUAAGUGGACACUCUGAUCAGCGUUUUCAAAUCAUACUUAUUUUCAAACUAAGAGGGGAUAUAUUUCUUUCUCCUCUUAAGAUGUUUACCUUUUAUUUUUCCUAUGUUUGAUCUUUGUUGGUACAAGAUAUAUUUAUUUUCUCCACAACAUCAGAAGUACUUUGCAUGAUUUUUGUAGAAAGAAUUAUGGUAGCUGAAUGGCCGCUAGCCAUCUAGGCACAAAUGGUUCAGCUUAGAUGCUGAUUUGAGCAAUAGAAAAUUGGAAUCUUCACUCUCAGCUAUCAAACAUGUUCGUUGCCUCUUACCGAGUUACCGUCUUCUUUGUGAACUAAUCUAAAUGAAAAUCUGUGCGCACCUACAAUGACACACUUGGUGGAAAUGUAUUUCUAACUCCUUUCAGUUUACUUCCCUGGUCAUCUUGCUUCUACUGAUGAGUUUUCAGGUUCAAACUAGGUUCUGUUUCACAAAAGUGGAGCUCCAAGAUAACAACUGAGCUAUGGGUACACACGAAGUUUAACAAGGAAGUGUUACAUGAGCUAGGAAGAAAGUUGGUUAGUAUUGCUACCUGUUUGAAAUGUUUUAGAAGAAAAUAACUAUGCAUGGGUGAAAUAUGCAAUAUUCUAAAAAUAUAGGAUCCUACUGAUGAUCUUUUGGAUAGAUAAUGCUCUAUUUAAUACCACCACAUGCUAAGGUGUUAUAUGUGAUUGUCCGAAUCACAGGUAAAUCCUUAGCACCGGCAGCCAUGGCACAUGAGGGCUUGGAAGCAGUUCACUAGGUACUGGUCACAGUUUGUAAAAUAAGACCUCAAGAAUACUUAAUGAAAUUAAUCAUUUGCAGUCUUGCAGACUACUGUUUGAACCACAAGUUUACACUAAUUUAGAGUUGCACACUUCGGUAACUUACAUGUUACUCUGCACUUUGUCCAUAUAAUUAGUGAACUGACAUGUUAUUCAUUUUGUUUGUGCAGUUGUUUGGAUAGUAGAAGGACAAAGAACUUUCGCAUCUAGGACUCUAGCACUACUGCUGGCGCUGCCACGCCCUCCCGUCCUGAUUGCCCUCCCACCGCUAACCGCCACUGCAAAAUCAUUUGUCCCUCAAACCCUCCACUCAGAACCACGAUUUGAUGCGUCGCCUCGCCCGCCCAGCCUCCACCCUGCUCGGUAGGUCCGUGAGGAGUGGCCCCUGCACGCUUGCCACGGAUGCACAAGGACUGUUCGAAGAAAUGCCUCCACCUCCUGCUCCACCAAAACUGCCAUGCCACACACUGUUUGUCCAUGCCUGCCAGGUGCUCAGCCGAACACACACUUCAGGGUUUUGUACUGUGGCUCAGCGGUUCACGGAUGAGCACGCCAGUGCAGAGCCACUGCGAUUCACAGUCACGCCGGGCGAUGCCUUUGGGGAUGGCCCGCCUGUGGGCAUUUCAGAGGCUGCUAAGAUGGUGUGUCGUAUUGUGUCCACGCAACCAGAACCAAGGAUUGCGUCAACGCUUGAUGCACUUGGGGUGGCCAUGUCUCCAGAGCUGGUAGCUGAAGUGCUCAAGAACUUGAGCAAUGCUGGGAUGCUAGCACUUGCCUUCUUUCGCUGGGCAGAGAGGCAGGAGGGCUUCAGUUACACGGCUGAGGGCUUCCACAACCUGAUUGAGGCGCUCGGCAAGAUCAAGCAGUUCAAGCUGGUGUGGAGCUUGGUGGAGACCAUGCGGUGCCGGGGCUUGCUGUCUAAGGACACAUUCAAGCUCAUCGUCCGAAGGUAUGCUCGGGCUAGAAAGGUCAAAGAGGCUGUUGAGACAUUCGAGAAGAUGAGCAUUUUUGGGCUUAAAACUGAGUUGUCGGACUACAACUGGCUGAUUGACACGCUAAGCAAAUCCAAACAAGUGAAGAAGGCGCAAGCCAUCUAUAAGGAGAUGAAGAGGAAGGGUAAGUUUGUACCUGAUUUGAAAACCUACACUGUCCUCAUGGAAGGUUGGGGCCAUGAGAAAGAUCUGUUGAUGGUGAAAACAAUGUACCAAGAAAUGAUUGAUGCUGGCAUUAGGCCU